AGUCGUUAAUAUAUCUAUCCUGAACCCAAAUUUCUGUUGAAAACUCUUAUAAUGAUCUGGCUUCUGAAGU